rnacentral:rRNA from 1 species
AUUGAACGCUGGCGGCAGGCCUAACACAUGCAAGUCGAACGAGUGGCGGACGGGUGAGUAAUGUCUGGGAAACUGCCUGAUGGAGGGGGAUAACUACUGGAAACGGUAGCUAAUACCGCAUACCAUCGGAUGUGCCCAGAUGGGAUUAGCUAGUAGGUGGGGUAACGGCUCACCUAGGCGACGAUCCCUAGCGGGUCUGAGAGGAUGACCAGCCACACGGGAACUGAGCAAGGGUCCGUCCUGCUAGGGUGGGCAGAGGUGGGGAAUAUUGCACAAUGGGGGCAAGCCUGAUGCAGCCCUGCCGCGUGUAUGAAGAAGGCUUUCGGGUGGUAAAGUACUUUCAGCGGGGAGGCGUUACCCGCAGAAUAAGCACCGGCUAACUCCGUGCCAGCAGCCGCGGUAAUAC